GAUGAACGCUGGCGGCGUGCCUAAUACAUGCAAGUCGAGCGAACAGAUGAGGAGCUUGCUCCUCUGACGUUAGCGGCGGACGGGUGAGUAACACGUGGAUAACCUACCUCUAAGACUGGGAUAACUUCGGGAAACCGGAGCUAAUACCGGAUAAUAUAUUGAACCGCAUGGAUCAAUAGUGAAAGACGGUUUUGCUGUCACUUAUAGAUGGAUCCGCGCCGCAUUAGCUAGUUGGUAAGGUAACGGCCUACCAAGGCAACGUUGCGUAGCCGACCGGAGAGGGUGAUCGCCACCACUGGAACGGGAACAGGGUCCAGAUCCCUACGGGAGGCAGCAGUAGGGAAUCUGCCGAAAGGGGCGAAAGCCUGUCGGGGCAACGCCGGGUGAGUGAUGAAGGUCUUCGGUUCGUAAAACUCUGUUAUUAGAGAAGAAAACAUGUGUAAGUAACUAUGCACGUCUUGACGGUACCAAAGCAGAAAGCCCCGCCUAACUACGU
rnacentral:rRNA from 1 species